rnacentral:miRNA from 1 species
UUGCUGGCUGCUGGCACACUGCACGCAUGCAUAACUAAGGUUAAUGUAACGAACAACCAAUCAAUUGUGCCAUCUGUUCCUUUUGAAAUUUUUAUCUAGUUAGAAUAUGUACUGUUCCAACUGCAGGAGA